AUUUAAGGCACAGUACCACAGAUGCCAGAGUAAACACAGACUGUGACAUUACAGUAACUGGACAAGAACAUCUGUGCAAGGAUGAAGACAUUACAUGCAAUGCUACUGAUGCUGUUUGUUGCAUCAGUCUUUUCAAAAGCAUUUCAUUUGCGCAGAAGAUUUGAUUCAUCAGACUCUGUGCGAUCUAGAUUCAGUUCAGAGGAAAAUGAUUCAAGCAGAGAAGACAGGGAGG